GAUUAAAAGAAGUGAGGGGAAAAAAAGAUCACAUGGAGCAUGGCGAACCCAGUUAUCUGUCAAAUGAAAAAGGGCCAAUUGUACACUUAAGAUAACCUUGGUCACACUGUAAUAAGAAGCUAAAAACAUGGUUAAAACUUUUCUAUGUUGCUCUGACCUGCAUUUUGAGAGUGUAGCUCAAGUGUAGCCCUUUAUGAUGCUGUACAGGAGUUCUUUUCUGGGGAGAAUUAGCUCUGAGGUGCACCCUGAUGUAAACGUCAAAUUGGCACUAAAACGUGUAAUUAGUGUUGGCAAACAGGGUUGACCUCCAUUAGGUCUGUAAGCUAGAACUUCCCUCUCCUACAGGGUAAGACUUCACCUCUGUGAACCUGAAGACUCCAUGAGUUUAAAACCUUGAAGUCAGGGUCCCCUCAGGACCAACUUAACCCGACUUGGAAAGGUCCUACUUUGUCUUACUAACUAGUUGGUCUUUCCCUAGAUGGCAAGCGAUGAUCCCUAGAUCUCAGUUGCUGGAUUCAUCACACUGAGUAAUAAGAGCAUAGAAGCCGAAACUCGCGUGUGCCUACAGGUGCCUACUCCUGUGAAGCAGGCUUGACACACACCCAAAGCUAAGGAAGCCCAGCCACAAGGGAGGCCACACAGAACAGGACUCUUCUGCUCACUCUCCUCGGUGGUCGGCCUCUCUGACAGCUUUGAUCUUCUGCCUGCUUCUUCUCUUUUGUGUCCUGCCAGAAGCUUAUGAUCUUGUCCAGUGCAGUUGUGUUAUGACUAAUGGCACUUGCACACUAUCCUAAAGACAAGGUCACUCUGUGCUGUCCCAUCUGGCCCUGAGCUCCUGGAGUUAAGUGAUCUCUCUGCCUCAGCCUCCCAAGUAGCAGGACUGUGAGGUCCAUACCACUCCUCCAAAGGAAUUGGACUUGAUCAUCUGUUUCCUUCAGCCACUAAAAUCAGACUCACAUUAUUUGCUCCAAAAUUCACUCUUUUCAUCCUCAUGAAGGUUGAAUUUACUAGUUUUAAGAAAAGUUUUUGCUUUUG